rnacentral:rRNA from 1 species
CACGCCGUAAACGAUGUCAACUAGCCGUUGGGAGCCUUGAGCUCUUAGUGGCGCAGCUAACGCAUUAAGUUGACCGCCUGGGGAGUACGGCCGCAAGGUUAAAACUCAAAUGAAUUGACGGGGGCCCGCACAAGCGGUGGAGCAUGUGGUUUAAUUCGACGCUACGCGAAGAACCUUACCAGGACUUGACAUGGAAUUUAAAACUCUAGAGAUAGAGCCAUAACAAGUUCACACAGGUGG